rnacentral:rRNA from 1 species
GAUGAACGCUGGCGGCGUGCCUAAUACAUGCAAGUCGAGCGAACGGACGAGAAGCUUGCUUCUCUGAUGUUAGCGGCGGACGGGUGAGUAACACGUGGAUAACCUACCUAUAAGACUGGGAUAACUUCGGGAAACCGGAGCUAAUACCGGAUAAUAUUUUGAACCGCAUGGUUCAAAAGUGAAAGACGGUCUUGCUGUCUCUUAUAGAUGGAUCCGCGCUGCAUUAGCUAGUUGGUAAGGUAACGGCUUACCAAGGCAACGAUGCAUAGCCGACCUGAGAGGGUGAUCGGCCACACUGGAACUGAGACACGGUCCAGACUCCUACGGGAGGCAGCAGUAGGGAAUCUUCCGCAAUGGGCGAAAGCCUGACGGAGCAACGCCGCGUGAGUGAUGAAGGUCUUCGGAUCGUAAAACUCUGUUAUUAGGGAAGAACAUAUGUGUAAGUAACUGUGCACAUCUUGCCGGUACCUAAUCAGAAAGCCACGGCUAACUACGUG